CCUGGUUGAUCCUGCCAGUAGUCAUAUGCUUGUCUCAAAGAUUAAGCCAUGCAUGUGUAAGCACACACUGUUUUAAAAGUGAAGCCGCGAAUGGCUCAUUACAACAGCCACAGUUUAUUAGAACUUACAAUCAUGGAUAACUGUGGUAAUUCUAGAGCUAAUACACGCACAAAAACUUCAACUGAAUUGGUUGAAGUGCUUUUAUUAGAACAAAAACCGAACGGCGUUUGACGAAUGUUGAACGUCGAAACUGUUUGGUGAAUCUGAAUAACUAUUUCUGAUCGCAUGGUCUAGCACCGGCGACAUCACUUUCAAGUGUCUGCCUUAUCAACCUUCGAUGGUAGUCUAUGCGACUACCAUGGUGAUAACGGGUAACGGAGAAUCAGGGUUCGACUCCGGAGAGGGAGCCUGAGAAACGGCUACCACAUCCAAGGAAGGCAGCAGGCGCGCAAAUUACCCACUCCCAGCUUGGGGAGGUAGUGACGAAAAAUAACGAGACGAUUCUCGUUUGAGAAACGUUAUCGAAAUGAGUACGCUUUACACACGCUAACGAGUAGCAAUUGGAGGGCAAGUCUGGUGCCAGCAGCCGCGGUAAUUCCAGCUCCAAUAGCGUAUAUUAAAGUUGCUGCGGUUAAAACGCUCGUAGUUGAAUUGUGGUCUUAGACAACAGUCCCCCUACAAAGGUGUGGCACGGUUGCUCGAGAUCUUCAUUCGUGGUUGCUGUUGUUGCUCUUCAUUGAGUGUCAAUGGUGCCUCGAGAUUUUACUUUGAAAAAAUUAGAGUGCUCAAAGCAGGUUGUGAUGCCUGAAUAAUGGUGCAUGGAAUAAUAGAAUACGAUCUCGGUUCUAUUUUGUUGGUUUUCGAACCGGAGAUAAUGAUUGAAAGGAACAGACGGGGGCAUGCAGAGUUGGUUGGUGAAAUUAUUCGUCUUGAAGGUGACAUGGCUACUAUUCAAGUUUAUGAAGAUACAUCGGCCGUUACCGUCGGAGAUCCAGUGCUUCGUACUGGCAAUCCUUUGUCUGUUGAACUGGGUCCAGGAAUAAUGGGCUCAAUUUUCGAUGGAAUCCAACGUCCCCUUAUGGACAUUGCCGAAAUUUCACGU
rnacentral:rRNA from 1 species